rnacentral:rRNA from 1 species
AUUGAACGCUGGCGGCAGGCCUAACACAUGCAAGUCGAGCGAGCGGAGGACGGGUGAGUAAUGUAUGGGAAACUGCCUGAUGGAGGGGGAUAACUACUGGAAACGGUAGCAAAUAACGCAUACCAUCAGAUGUGCCCAGAUGGGAUUAGCUAGUUGGUGGGGUAACGGCUCACCUAGGCGACGAGCCCUAGCUGGUCUGAGAGGAUGACCAGCCACACUGGAACUGAGACACGGUCCAGACUCCUACGGGAGGCAGCAGUGGGGAAUAUUGGGCAAUGGGCGCAAGCCUGAUCCAGCCAUGCCGCGUGUAUGAAGAAGGCCUUCGGGUUGUAAAGUACUUUCAGCGGGGAGGCGUUACCCACAGAAGAAGCACCGGCUAACUCCGUGCCAGCAGCCGCGGUAAUUC